rnacentral:tRNA from 1 species
GGUCGCCCUGGCCUGGCGGCGCCUCCGGCGCCGCCUUCGGCGCGGCACGGAGACGGAGCAGAUUGCCGGAGCGUGGAUCUGGUCCACGCGUCGACUGC